rnacentral:misc_RNA from 1 species
ACCAUAUUUCCAUCAUUGCACUCCAUUAGUAUCGAGUGUUUGCCCAACUUGUCAUGUUUUUAUUCUGCAAGAGAUGUUCUGAAAUGCCCAUCCUUGAAAAAAAUUGAUGUGGUUGACUGUCCAAAGAUGGAAUUAUUAGCUUCAGCAUUUCGCUAUGAACAAGAUUCAAGCGUGAUUGUUGAGGGAAGUGAAGAAUCUGUUUAUAAGGGAGAUGUUGAUAUUUCCAUGGCUGNNNNNNNNNNNGUUGCAAUCCCAAGCUUAGAAGAAUUGAAAGUGGAAUGGAAAACCAUGAAGGAUAUGUGGCCAGAAAAAUUUCAAUCCAUGUUCUUGUCUGGACUGAAAGGCAUUGAGCUGACAUGUUAUCCUGGUGGAUGUGCACUUUUGCCAACUGAUUUCUUUCAAAUUUUAAUCAAUCUGGAGAAACUUGUUUUGAGAGAUGCUUCUCUUGAAGAAAAAACAUUUCAUGAAGCAAACAUUGGUGAGCAACUACAUCCCGAAUCAUGUAAGGUGCCUAUGCUCAAGCAUCUGAUGGAGAAGGACUCCCAGCAAGUCCCAGCUUCUCAAUAUCUGGAGACAGAAGCAAUGGAUUGUGGCAGACUGAAAAUUUUACAGCCAUUCACGGUUUCUUUCGAAAAUUUAACAACUCUGGAGGUAUCAAAUUGCCAAGGUCUAAUAAAUCUAAUGACUUCAAUUACAUCUAGAAGUCUUGUGCAACUUAGAAGAAUGAAGGUACAGAAAUGUGAAAUGAUGCAAGAAAUUGUAGCGAGUGAAACAGAUGAUGAAGAAGAAGAGAUUUGCUUCAGUCAACUACAAUAUUUGGAGCUUCAUGAUCUACCACGCCUCACAAGCUUUUGCUUUGGUAAUCCUGCCUUCAAUUUCCCAUCCUUGGAGGAAGUGAUCAUUAGAGCAUGUCCCAAUAUGAAGAUUUUUGCUAAAGAAGUUUUAAGCACUCCAAAGCUAUGGCGAGUUCAAACCGGAAAACAUAAAUAUGAGUGGGAAUGGGAAGGCAGCAUCAAUAACACCAUUGAAGCAUUAUUUGCACAUACGAAUGCUGAAGAAAUAGGGGAGGCCAGCGUUCAUAUGCGUGAGCUCCAAUGAGGCUGAUGUUACAUGUAAUUUGUGACAGAUUAUACUUAAUUUUCCGUUUGAGGGUACAUGGUGAAUUGGUUCUCUUAUGGCUGAAGUCUUUCAUUCAUGAGGAAGUGUUAGAU